UCUGUUACAACUGCUGCUUCUUCUGUUACAAGCUCGAAGUCAUGGGAAGAUUUCCGAAAGUAUCGCUCCCAGCAUCCAGGCCCUCUAUCUAUGAGGGCCUUCCAUCGCUGGUGUUUGUAUGGGGACGACCAUCCCUCCUUUAGAUGAAGGGAUGGCACCCCAUACAA
rnacentral:lncRNA from 1 species